rnacentral:rRNA from 1 species
GACCAGACUCCUACGGGAGGCAGCAGUGGGGAAUAUUGCACAAUGGGGGGAACCCUGAUGCAGCGACGCCGCGUGAGUGAAGAAGUAUUUCGGUAUGUAAAGCUCUAUCAGCAGGGAAGAAAAACCGACCAUAGGGUCGCUAGACGGUACCUGAUUAAGAAGCCCCGGCUAACUACGUGCCAGCAGCCGCGGUAAUACGUAGGGGGCAAGCGUUAUCCGGAUUUACUGGGUGUAAAGGGAGCGUAGACGGCAGCGCAAGUCUGAAGUGAAAUACCGGGGCUCAACCCCGGGGCUGCAUUGGAAACUGGCAGGCUGGAGUGUCGGAGAGGCAGGCGGAAUU